rnacentral:rRNA from 1 species
AUUGAACGCUGGCGGCAGGCCUAACACAUGCAAGUCGAGCGGAUGACGGGAGCUUGCUCCUGGAUUCAGCGGCGGACGGGUAAGUAAUGCCUAGGAAUCCGCCUGGUAGUGGGGGACAACGUUUCGAAAGGAACGCUAAUACCGCAUACGUCCUACGGGAGAAAGCAGGGGACCUUCGGGCCUUGCGCUAUCAGAUGAGCCUAGGUCGGAUUAGCUAGUUGGUGAGGUAAUGGCUCACCAAGGCGACGAUCCGUAACUGGUCUGAGAGGAUGAUCAGUCACACUGGAACUGAGACACGGUCCAGACUCCUACGGGAGGCAGCAGUGGGGAAUAUUGGACAAUGGGCGAAAGCCUGAUCCAGCCAUGCCGCGUGUGUGAAGAAGGUCUUCGGAUUGUAAAGCACUUUAAGUUGGGAGGAAGGGCAGUAAGCGAAUACCUUGCUGUUUUGACGUUACCGACAGAAUAAGCACCGGCUAACUCUGUGCCAGCCGCCGCCGUAAUAC